rnacentral:lncRNA from 1 species
UUUGAGCGAGGAUAAAUGUUUGCCGGAAUUCAUGGAAGGAUGAAGUGCUGACCUUGGUGCUGAAGAGGGCCAGGCUUUGUGAAGAACAAGUACCAAUCAUAAGGUUUAGGCCGAUCAUUUGUUGAUCAUCACAAAUUCUUAUGCAGUAAACUGGCAUUUCGUUAUUAUUAUGUGGUAUAACAUCAUCAGGUUAACUCUUUAUAUCUAGUUACGGACU